AAAAAAAAUACAGUUUUCUCUCAUUUUUAUUCUUCCCUUUGGUAAAUUUCUUUUUGACAAAGGUCUAUAAGAUAGCUAAAAACACUUGUGUGGGAUAUUUCUAGCUAUUUCUGUCAGGUUUUCUCAAUCUUUUUAGCUCUUUGCAGGUUUCAUAAAUUUGCUGAGAUAGCCUCUUUUAUAACCUUGUGUGGCAGGUAGGACACGCCUAUUAGUCAGGAGGACUCGCUCACUGAUUGGGUGAUCACGCUUUAAAAAGCUCUCCUGCUUCGUUUUUUUAAUUAUGACCUCUUUCGGCUGCCAUACCAGGUCACCAGGAAGUGAGCGCGAGUAGCAGGCAGUUUCCUGGACACGGAUAGUCGGCAAAUCAUUCGGCGUAUCUGCAAUGUGCUCCAGUAGCCGUACGAAUAUCACAUAGACUCGCUCCUUCUCAGCAACCGAAAGUGUUCUGCUGCACGAUCCCUUCCCUCCCCGCAAAUAGGGGAGUAAAGCUGCUGCUUUGCCUUGUGUGUUUUUGUGCCUGAGCUCGAGCGCGCCCGCCCCCUUCCACGCCGCGGUAGAAGAAAAGACACACGCCCGCUGCACGGAGGAUACCACAACGUGGAAGCCGUCUCGUGGGACUGGACAGUUUCUUCUCUCCCCACCAUCACCUUGUGUCCGACUGGCGGUCGGGAGGUGGGACCCCGAGGUGGUGGACUGCUGUCUGGUGGUGGGUCCCGCGUGUUGUGUCCUGUCACGUUUGCAGUGAAUCUCCACUUCCGGUGUUUUAGUUUUGUUGUUUUUAUUGCAGCUCCAGCCACCUCGGUGAGCUCCCUCUCUGUGUUUUGUUUUUAUGUGGAAGUUGUUCUAACAUUUUAUACAGCUCUUAAUAAAUUAUAUUUUUAAUAUUGUACCCAGCCUCUGCCUUGGUUUAAAGUAAGAAUUUUACGUGUCCUUUUAGUUAAUUUCCUGGGGCCGAACAGCCCCAGGUGGCGUUGUUGCAACACACCAUACCCGAGUCGCCACACUUGUCUCAGGUCUUUUAGCUGCCAAAGACACAUUUGCUGCACACGCUUUCCCAGUCCAAUAUAGUACCAGUAUUACAGGCCA
rnacentral:lncRNA from 1 species